rnacentral:snRNA from 1 species
CCGAUCAAGCAAUCCCUUA